rnacentral:rRNA from 1 species
GACGAACGCUGGCGGCGUGCUUAACACAUGCAAGUCGAGCGGUAAGGCUCCUUCGGGAGUACACGAGCGGCGAACGGGUGAGUAACACGUGAGCAAUCUGCCCUUCACUUCGGGAUAACUCCGGGAAACCGGUGCUAAUACCGAAUACGACCACUUCAGGCAUCUGAUGGUGGUGGAAAGUUCCGGCGGUGAAGGAUGAGCUCGCGGCCCAUCAGCUUGUUGGUGGGGUAACGGCCCACCAAGGCAACGACGGGUAGCCGGCCUGAGAGGGUGACCGGCCACACUGGGACUGGGACACGGCCCAGACUCCUACGGGAGGCAGCAGUGGGGAAUAUUGGACAAUGGGCGAAAGCCUGAUCCAGCAACGCCGCGUGAGGGAUGACUGCCUUCGGGUUGUAAACCUCUUUCAGCAGGGACGAAGCGCAAGUGACGGUACCUGCAGAAGAAGCACCGGCCAACUACGUGCCAGCAGCCGCCGUAA